CCCUUGUCCGCUGUUGCCAUCAGGUUAAGCUGGGCACUCUGCGGAGACUGCCGGUGAUAAACCGGAGGAAGGUGGGGAUGACGUCAAGUCAGCAUGGCCUUUAUGUCUGGGGCUACACACGUGCUACAAUGGCCGGUACAAACCGUCGCGAUGCCGCAAGGUGGAGCUAAUCGGAGAAAACCGGUCUCA
rnacentral:rRNA from 1 species